rnacentral:lncRNA from 1 species
GCUCAUCGUCCCACCUGCGCAAACAGUUGUUUUCCUGGUGGCAUAAGGGGAUGCCCACCGGCUGGCAGAAAAAAAAAAAAAAAACCCUCGAGGAAUAUUUGGAAGGGCUGUGGCUGUGCUCUGAAAGCUUCGUGACACCUCUGGUAAUGACUGGAACUGUGGCCCUCUUGUGUCUGUGAGGGGACAAGCUUGAGGACCAAGGCCAACGUACCUAGAUAGCAGAGGGGAAAGAUGGACAGAACCUGCAUCCAUGAUGACAUUCUGAGGCUGUUAUAUUAACCAAUCGCAGAAUCACCGUAUUUCUAGGUUUCUUGGUUAGCCCACCAUUACCACAGAAGUAAUGAUAGCAGGCAUCCUUGAUUCAUUCCAAUCCCAGAAGCACCUUCCGGGGUGAUUCAUAAAAAGUCAGAAUAACCCCAGGAUAAGACACUGGAGAUGGAGAGGAGCAUACGUUUGAGACUUGAGAGGGAUCCCGAGGUUAAGAAGCUUGGAAACUUUUUGAGAACUAAAAGAAGAUAGAUAAGCACCAGAAGAAGCUACCCCACAAAUUUAGUGGGAUGUGUCUCGGUGGCAUUCCAUCAGCAUCACAUAUGGAAACUGCAGUCCCUGCCUCUGCGUUUAUUCACGUGCUGGGUCAGUCAAGCUGCUAAAAUGAAAGCAAAUAAGAAAAAUAGGAAAUAACAUGAGUCAGGAAACAAAGAAAAGUAGGUAACAUUUUUCAAGUGCCUGUAUGUGCCAGGCUUUUUCAUGUACUCCAGUGUAGGCUCUGGAGUCACCGGGUUGAAAUGGAGUCUUUGCCCUUUAGUUUUUUUUGUGGAACAAAAAACCUUAAAAGGCCUAUAAUUGAGAACUUAAUAUAGUCAAUGUCCUAGGCCAGGAGUUUUCUAUGAAGGGUAAUAUUAAUAUAGUAGAUAGCAACUGUCUUCAAGGAAAACAAAUCUGUAAUUUGCGCUUACUAUGGCCAUAUACUUUGUUAGGAGCUUGCUGCAAAGAAAUACACAUGUACAGUCGAUCCUCAUUAUUCACAGAUUCACUAUUGUGAAUUUGCAUACUUUCUAGAAUUUAUUUGUGGCUUCAAGAUCAAUACUUGCUGCACUUGCCCAGUCAUUCGCGGACAUGCACAGAGCAGGGAAAAAUCUGAGUUGCCCGACUGGCGUGUUUCCAGCUGAGGUGGAACAAGACAAUACUCUGCCUUCUUGUUUAAGCUCUCACACUGUAAGCAAGUGUCCUUUUCUCUGUCUGUUUAGUGACACAUCUUUUGCAUUUUUGUUAGUGAUUCCACUGUUUAAAAUGGCCCCCAGUGUAGGGCUGCAGUGCUGUCUAGCAGAAGUUCUUGAGUGCAAGAAGGCUGUGAUGAUGUGCCUUAAGGAGAAAAUGUGUGUAUUAGAGAAGCUUUGUCCAGGCAUGUGUUAUUGUGCUGUUGUCUGUGAGUUCAAGUUAGUGAAUAAACAA